ensembl:lincRNA
UCUACUGGGUGUCUGUGUCAGUUCAGUUGGACUGCAUGUGGGCUGCAGCAGGCAUGUGGAGCAGGGGUAGAUGGUGAAGAUGUAUGCAUCUAUUGGAAGCCGGUGCUGGUCACACAGAGGGGCACUGCAAUAUCCAGCUGAAGACCAAGGACUUUACUCCUCUGAGAGGAGCCUGAGGGCUCUGAGAGGAAAGGGCCAGGUGACACUGCUCCAGGGAGAGAGACCAAGGAGCUGGUAGUUGCACUGAGGUACUUUGGAGGCCAGUCCAACCACAGCUGUAUUGCCUGCUGCUGUCUGAGCUAUGGGAUUUUGGGGUGUCACCAGAGGCCAGAGUCUUAUGACUUGGGGCAAGAGAGAAACACACCAACAAACUUCUAGUGGUAUUCUGGCUGAUUUUGGUUGCUUCCACUGACUCAUGCCAAUUUGGCGGGAG